GUAGGUGGCAAGCGUUGUCCGGAAUUAUUGGGCGUAAAGCGCGCGCAGGUGGUUCUUUAAGUCUGAUGUGAAAGCCCCCGGCUCAACCGGGGAGGGUCAUUGGAAACUGGGGAACUUGAGUGCAGGAGAGGAAAGUGGAAUUCCACGUGUAGCGGUGAAAUGCGUAGACAUGUGGAGGAACACCAGUGGCGAAGGCGACUUUCUGGCCUGUAACUGACACUGAGGCGCGAAAGCGUGGGGAGCAAACAGGGAUUAGAUACCCUGGUAGUCCACGCCGUAAACGAUGAGUGCUAAGUGUUGGGGGGGUUUCCGCCCCCUCAGUGCUGCAGCUAACGCAUUAAGCACUCCGCCUGGGAGUACGGUCGCAAGACUG
rnacentral:rRNA from 1 species